GAUGAACGUUGGCGGCGUGCUUAACACAUGCAAGUCGAACGGAAAGGCCCCGCUUUUGUGGGGUGCUCGAGUGGCGAACGGGUGUGUCACACGAGAGUAACCUGCCCUUGCCUUUGGGAUAACUUCAGGAAACUGGGGCUAAUACCGGCUAGGAGCUCCUGCUGCAUGGUGGGGGUUGGAAAGUUUCGGCGGUUGGGGAUGGACUCGCGGCUUAUCAGCUUGUUGGUGGGGUAGUGGCUUACCAAGGCUUUGACGGGUAGCCGGCCUGAGAGGGUGACCGGCCACAUUGGGACUGAGGUACGUCCCAGACUCCUACGGGAGGCAGCGGUGGAGAGUAUGACACAAUGGGCGGAAGCCUGAUGCAGCAACGCCGCGGGCGGUAUGACGGCCUUCAAGUUGUAAACCGCUUUCGCCUGAGACGAUGCGAGAGUGACGUUAAUAAGUAAAGAAGCACCGGCUAACUACGUG
rnacentral:rRNA from 1 species